rnacentral:lncRNA from 1 species
AGGUUAUCGAGUCUCGAGCGAUCGAGUGCCAUUUGAAUGGUUUCGCGUUUGUUUCAGUUUUGUUUUUACAAUUUUCGAAAAUACCCACUGCGAGGUUAGUUUUGUGUGGCGUGAAGUUGGUGUUAUAAUUAGUAUGGAUGCGUUUAACGGAAAAACAGGAUCCUAAAAUUGGAAUUUCAGUUAUUUGAUGGCCGUGUCAAAUAUGCAGUUAUUCUCGACAAAAACGGAGGCAAACUUCAAAACUGGUCGCUCCAUCAUCAGUGUUGAAUCAAAUUCGUCCCUAAAACAGAUUUUCAGGACUUCUGAUGCACUUUCUGAUAAAGUCUAAAAAUCUGGAUGAUCGUUCGUGACCUUAAGCGUCUUGCAUCACCUAACAGGAGCGAAAGAUUCUGUUGCUUCUCUCAAGUAAAGAGCUCCUUUCAAUCAGUGCGUGGGAAAGUAUGGAUAAAAAAUUCAUGAAAAAUAAAACCAUCUUUCAAGUUUUCUUUUAGCCAAAUGAAGCAUGAUGAAAUCAACAGAACUAGUACACGGAUAAUUUGUGUUAAUUCAGCAUUAAAUCAUGCUCAAUGUUGGUGAUUAUUGGUUUUAACCAGUAUUAACCGGUAACUGCCAUCUCGAGCACCUUUAGUAGUAUGUGAAAUCGUAUCAGACCUUAGAAUACUAUCCUGAAGUCUAGUGCCAGUUAAAUUUUGUCAGAGGAAACCAUGGUGAGUUCCAGUCAACAAAUUAGCUCGAACAAAUAUUAGCCUUGCCUGUGGCCUUCCGAUCCCACGCAAGCAUUUUCCUCGAAACUUUUUCCCCUCGAAUGAAAAUGAGUGAUUUUUUCUACUGCGCAGAUAACUGAAGUGGCUGUGAAAAACCUCUAAUUUCCAGGCCUGCGGAUGAGCUUUAAGAAUGGCCUGACAAUUAAUACCUAAGUGAAAAUCCACGCUCUUGCGGGCGAUACAUCAAAAGCGUAGAACUGCGGCGCAAAGCAUGUAUUUU